UACGGAGGGUGCAAGCGUUGUUCGGAAUUACUGGGCGUAAAGCGCGUGUAGGCGGUUUCUUAAGUCUGAUGUGAAAGCCCGGGGCUUACCCCCGGAAGUGCAUUGGAAACUGGGAGACUAGAGUACCGGAGGGGAGGGUGGAAUUCCUGGUGUAGCGGUGAAAUGCGUAGAUAUCAGGAGGAACACCGGUGGCGAAGGCGGCCCUCUGGACGGAUACUGACGCUGAGACGCGAAAGCGUGGGGAGCAAACAGG
rnacentral:rRNA from 1 species